AUCAUGACCUGAGCUGAAGUUGGACGCUCAACCGACUGAGCCACCCAGGUGCCCCUACAGGCUUCUUGACAAUCUCAUCAGUACUGAAGUGACUAAAAAAAUCUAUCCAAACCUCUUCAAAACUAGUUUCUGGGAUGGAAAUGAAGAAUAUGAGUGAAUGUAUAAAUGUUUACUAAGCCUUGCUGAGAGGCCCUCAUCUACUCACCUGCGACCACAGAAGGAAAGUAUGUCUUCAGGAAGCGACCCAUCUGUCAGGUUUUUGAAGAUCAAUAAACUCAUACUUUGUGACACAUCAUGAUGGAAAACAUAAGGGUCCUGGAAUCAAAAGGAAGAAUCAGAUAAAAGGGAGUCUUUGCUCUUCCAAAAGUGAGGAGUACGCAAGUGAUGGGUGCUCUGCUCACUCGGAGGGGAGCCAAAUGGAAGCCUGAAGCCUGAAGCCUGAAGCCUGAAGGGGGUGGGGUGAGAACAGAAGUAAACAUAUGCAGAAUGCUGAAAAGAACUGAUUGAAAGCUUUUGCUCUGUCAUUCCUCUCUUUCCUUUCCUGCUUUUCCUUCCCGGUUUGUGACUGUGGACCAAAUGCAACCUACUUAUUUCAAAGAAUCACUGGAUCUGGAAUGAGCUGUCACCUUGUAGAUUGUCUCAUCCAAACUCCUACCCAUUGCUAUAAUUCUCCGCUUGAUUCAGGAGCACUUUUUCUCCUCCAGCAGCUUUCCCAGCAGCUUUUGAGCCUAUCAAUUAAAAGUGUGCUGAGGAGACUAGAGGUUUCGCAAUCAGUUCUGGGUCCAAACUGUGGCUCUCUCACUGACUUGUGAUAUCCAGGGCAAGUUAUCCCAAAUCUCAGGGCCCCUGUCUUAUCUGUUAAAUGGUUAUAAUAGAAAUGAAUUCACAGCAGUCUGAAAAUUAAAUGAAGUAAUAGUUUAAUAUAUAAAACUGUAGUCUAUAAAAGACUCAGCACUCAGAGCUAAAUUAAGAGUAGCUAAGUGUUGGG